UGAGAGUAGCCUUGGAGGCUGGGAGUACCCAAGAACAGCCCCACUGUUUGCCAGCUCAAAUGGACCCAGGAAAGACUGCCCACGCACUAAAGAGCAACCGGUUCCACAGCCGCAGUACCAACUGGAAGUCUGGCUGCUGUCGAGCAAUUCUCCGAGAGGGUAUGGGCAUGUGAUUGGUGAUUAGCUAGUCCACCAUGGAGAGCCCAGAUGGAACACUGAAAGGGGGGAUAUGGAGAAUCAGUCUCAUUAUCUCUGAAGCUCUGAAGUGCAGCACCCCCUUGGUGGGGUUUCCAGGUGUCCGUGGGAUGAUGGGGUGGACUGAAUCCAAAACCACUGCCGGCGAGCCCUGUAGCCUUGACAGAUGAGGCUCGUUCAACCCUCACAGCAAGAUCAGAAAUGCCCAAACCAAUCCAGCCUGCAGAAUUGCAGGACCAAUCUCCCAGGGGCCCGGCUGGACUGAAACGAACGUCUCAUUAUUGGCGUUGGAGUUCCGGAGCGUACUAUACAUCUUACUGGAGGUCAUCUAUAUUUCCUUGAUGUAUUUAUUCAAUGACUGGUGUUCUUAACAAAAUCAAAACAACAGCAGAAACUGAUUUCCCUCGGAACCAGGGUACGAGAAGAGUCAGGCAGUUUGUUUGAUAUAGGGACCUCCUUUUAAGGUUUCCCAGACUCCUGAUAUCCAUGAGUUGGGAAAUAAAAAGAUGAUACAUGUC